rnacentral:rRNA from 1 species
UAGGGAAUAUUGCACAAUGGACGAAAGUCUGAUGCAGCGACGCCGCGUGAGUGAUGAAGGCCUUCGGGUUGUAAAGCUCUGUUCUCAGGGAAUAAAAAAAUGAAGGUACCUGAGGAGAAAGGACCGGCUAACUUCGUGCCAGCAGCCGCGGUAAUACGAGGGGUCCAAGCGUUGCUCGGAAUCAUUGGGCGUAAAGCGGGUGUAGGUGGCUUUGUAAGUCAGGAGUGAAAGCCCUGGGCUCAACCCAGGAAGUGCUUUUGAUACUGCGAAGCUUGAGUGUGGGAGAGGAUCGUGGAAUUCCAGGUGUAGUGGUGAAAUACGUAGAUAUCUGGAGGAACACCGGUGGCGAAGGCGGCGAUCUGGCCCAACACUGACACUCAGACCCGAAAGUGCGGGGAUCAAACAGGAUUAGAUACCCCCGUAGUCC